CCUACGGGAGGCAGCAGUGGGGAAUAUUGGGCAAUGGAGGCAACUCUGACCCAGCAACGCCGCGUGAAUGAUGAAGGUCUUCGGAUUGUAAAGUUCUGUGAGGGGGGAGGAACACAAUGACGGUACCCCAAUAGCAAGCCACGGCUAACUACGGGCCAGCAGCCGCAGGAAUACGUAGGGGGCAAGCGUUAUCCGGAAUGACUGGGCGUAAAGGGGGCGUAGGUGGUUUAGUAAGUUGGCGGUGUAAUUCCGGGGCUCACCCUCGGCGCUACCGCCAAAACUAUUAGACUAGAGUGCAGGAGGGUUCAGUGGCAUUCCUUGUGUAGCGGUGGACUGCGUCGAUAUUAGGAG
rnacentral:rRNA from 1 species